UUUGUUAAUUUUCCUUUUGGUUAAGAAAAAUAAAAUGUAAGAUUUUUUAGAUAUAGAAAUAUGAAUUAGUAUAUGUUAAUAAUGAUUUAUUUUUUAGUUUUCUAUUUCUUUAAGAAGAAAAAAGUUAAUUGAUUUCUUUUUUAGUAUUUCUAUUUCUUUAAGAAGAAAAAAGUUAAUUAUUUUCUUACACAUGUCAACAUCUGAUCGAUAGACUUGACAUGUGGCAUAAUCUUAUGAGUUAGUAACUUUGAAAACCAUACUUCAUAUAAUAAGAUUUGUCGUUUACAAUAAUAUAAGAUGCAUGCUUGUUGACAAAAGAAAGCAAGUUCGAAAUAUGUUAGAAUAGAGCUAUUUUAAAGGUUUCUUCUGGAUCGUUUGAAAUAUACAAGAUCGUUCGAAGGCACAAUGC
rnacentral:sRNA from 1 species